ACACGAUCGGCUGCGAUAGUUCUUUAAGCGUACCAGGUGAUUUGUCACGGUUUUAUGUGCAUUGUUUAGUUUGCAAAAGCUGGCGUACCCGCCCAGUAGAUGGUACCCAUUGUUUGCGGCUUAAACGACCUUUUUGUCCACGAGGUAAUAAAGAAGAUUAAACCCCACGUGACUGUGUAUGCUAAAAAUUAACGACGAUAGGUACACCCCAAUUAUAUUAUAACUUAUAAUAAUAAUAUACUUAUAAUUUAUAAGUAUACUGCGAAAAGUCGACGGAACGAAUCGUUAUGAAACGAAUGUACAGGAUCAUAAAAGUUUCGAAAUAUUCAGUAAAACAAUGCAUUUAUGAACCUAUUGAAAAUUUAUAAUAAAAAA